CCUACGGGGGGCAGCAGUGGGGAAUAUUGCACAAUGGGGGGAACCCUGAUGCAGCGACGCCGCGUGAGUGAAGAAGUAUUUCGGUAUGUAAAGCUCUGUCAGCAGGGAAGAAGAAAGACGGUACCUGACCAAGAAGCCGCGGCUAACUACGUGCCAGCAGCCGCGGUAAUACGGAGGGGGCAAGCGUUAUCCGGAUUUACUGGGGGUAAAGGGAGCGUAGACGGCAAGGCAAGGCUGGGGGGAAAGGCAGGGGCCUAAACCCUGGACUGCUCUUGAAACUGGCCGGCUGGAGUGCAGGAGAGGUAAGUGGAAUUCCUAGUGUAGCGGUGAAAUGCGUAGAUAUUAGGAGGAACACCAGUGGCGAAGGCGGCUUACUGGACUGUAACUGACGUUGAGGCUCGAAAGCGUGGGGAGCAAACAGGAUUAGAUACCCGAGUAGUC
rnacentral:rRNA from 1 species